UGGGGAAUUUUACGCAAUGGGCGAAAGCCUGACGUAGCGACACCGCGUGAGCGAAGAAGCCCCUUGGGGUGUAAAGCUCUGUCAGCUGGAACGAAAAAAAUGACGGUACCAGCAGAGGAAGCAUCGGCUAACUACGUGCCAGCAGCCGCGGUAAGACGUAGGAUGCAAGCGUUGUCCGGAUUUAUUGGGCGUAAAGAGUUCGUAGGUGGUUUGUUAAGUCUGAUGUUAAAGACCGAGGCUCAACUUCGGAAAUGCAUUGGAUACUGGCAGACUGGAGUAUGGUAGAGGCAAGUGGAAUUCCCAGUGUAGCGGUGAAAUGCGUAGAUAUUGGGAAGAACACCCGUGGCGCAAGCGACUUGCUGGGCCAUAACUGACACUGAGGAACGAAAGCCAGGGGAGCGAAUGG
rnacentral:rRNA from 1 species